rfam:Pristionchus pacificus strain PS312 contig5106, whole genome shotgun sequence.
UCUUCAUGUCACGUGCUCUCUCACCGGUCAGAGACGCGAGACAGUGUGCGAAAUGAAGAGA